UACGUAGGGGGCAAGCGUUGUCCGGAUUUAUUGGGCGUAAAGAGCGUGUAGGCGGCCAGGUAGGUCUGCUGUGAAAACUCGAGGCUUAACCUCGAGCUGUCGGCGGAAACCAUCUGGCUAGAGUCCGGAAGAGGAGAAUGGAAUUCCCGGUGUAGCGGUGAAAUGCGUAGAUAUCAGGAGGAACACCUGUGGCGAAAGCGGCUCACUGGACCACAACUGACGCUGAGGCGCGAAAGCUAGGGGAGCAAACAGG
rnacentral:rRNA from 1 species